UGAUGCCCCUUGUAGCUAUGCUUCUGGCUUUAAGGAUUUGAGUCAAAAGUUGCUGCUAGUAGGGUGUCAAAAAAGCCCGCGCUGGCCCGACCCGGCAUAGCCUAGCCCGACUCUACCCUAAAAUUUCGGGUUUUUUAGGGUCGGGCCUCUCCCCUCUCUCUCUCUCUCUCUGCGCGAGCACGACGGAUCCGAUCGCCCCUCCGCUCGCCGUGGAUUUCUGUUUCGAUGCCUUACACGGCCAAGUCCUCUCCUACUGGCACUUCUUCGACUCGAUCCGCAAUCUGGGCCUCCUCCGCGACCUCUCCAAGGUCCUCUACGUCUUCGCCGAAACCAGCCACGAGGUCAUGGCGCUGUCUGAGUCGAGCGUCGCCUACGUCACUGGGGUCGAAUUGAUUGACUCGCCACCUCUGGUUGGAGUUCCCGUGCUUCUUGACUGGUUUGGACACUUCUUCAUUCUGGGCGAUUAAGAGUUCCUUUCUACAUUUGUCGACCCUGCAAUUAGGCCAUUGAUCGACACUUUUCCUGCUAAGAUGAAGUACGAGUGGAAGUGGCAUUUAGAGGCUUGGAGAUACGGAUCUGAUUUAGACUAUGAGCUAUGAGGAUGGAUAGCCGCAGGACAAGAUCUUUGUCAAAUGGGGUUGCCGAACAUACCGGGGUUAAGUGCAAAUUGUCCAUUUUAGUGGAGGAAUUGUUGGAAAUGCUAGCAGGAGGAAAUACUGGGGACAAAAAAAAUAUGGCCACAAUUCUCAUUCCUUCCCUUUUCACUGAUUUCACUUUCUUUUUGUCCUUACUCUUUUCCCAAGCACAGUGCAAGUGUCAUCUGUUGGAGGAUAGGUCUUUCUACCCUUCCAUUUGUGCUGUUGAGUUCCUGUCUUUAGCAUCUGUCUGAUCUAAUAUUUCAAUUGUCAGAUCUGCUCGACAUUAACUUAUCAUGUUUGAACGUGAUUAAACUGUCCUACACUCUACCUUUAUAUACAUGGACUGCUGUGGGAGGCUUACGUAAGUAGUGUUAUUUUUGACUUCUUGUUCUUAUGUUCCUGCUUGGCCUAGCAACAUAUAUAGAAUAAUUAAAGGUUAGGAAAGUGAGAUUCAUUUUACCACCAGAGUCAAUGAGAGAAUGUUGUUUAUUGCUCCCUCUGUGUUUGCACUGUUGUUGGGAGUAGACUGAAAUGAAGAUUGAGGUUGGUUUUCUGAGA